rnacentral:misc_RNA from 1 species
CAGAGUUGCAAAACUCCCAAACCCUUUGUGAACCUUACCUAUAACGUUGCUUCGGCAGGCCGCCCCAGGGCGGGGCUGUAGCCUUCACAGGCGCCUGCCGGAGGCCUUUAAACUCUGUUUUUAUUGAUACAUUUCUGAGUAAUAAAACAAAUUGAGUCA